AAUAGAUACCCAGGUAGUCCACGCCGUAAACGAUGAGUGCUAAGUGUUAGAGGGUUUCCGCCCUUUAGUGCUGCAGCUAACGCAUUAAGCACUCCGCCUGGGGAGUACGGCCGCAAGGCUGAAACUCAAAGGAAUUGACGGGGGGCCCGCACAAGCGGUGGAGCAUGUGGUUUAAUUCGAAGCAACGCGAAGAACCUUACCAGGUCUUGACAUCCUCUGACACUCCUAGAGAUAGGACGUUCCCCCUUCGGGGGACAGAGUGACAGGUGGUGCAUGGUUGUCGUCAGCUCGUGUCGUGAGAUGUUGGGUUAAGUCCCGCAACGAGCGCAACCCUUGAUCUUAGUUGCCAGCAUUCAGUUGGGCACUCUAAGGUGACUGCCGGUGACAAACCGGAGGAAGGUGGGGAUGACGUCAAAUCAUCAUGCCCCUUAUGACCUGGGCUACACACGUGCUACAAUGGAUGGUACAAAGGGCUGCAAGACCGCGAGGUUUAGCCAAUCCCAUAAAACUAUUCUCAGUUCGGA
rnacentral:rRNA from 1 species